rnacentral:rRNA from 1 species
UACGGGGGGGGCAAGCGUUGUUCGGAAUUACUGGGCGUAAAGGGCUCGUAGGUGGCCAACUAAGUCAGACGUGAAAUCCCUCGGCUUAACCGGGGAACUGCAUCUGAUACUGGAUGGCUUGAGUUCGGGAGAGGGAUGUGGAAUUCCAGGUGUAGCGGUGAAAUGCGUAGAUAUCUGGAGGAACACCGGUGGCGAAGGCGGCAUCCUGGACCGACACUGACGCUGAGGAGCGAAAGCCAGGGGAGCAAACGGG